rfam:Gallibacterium anatis TMN179, complete genome.
UCGAAUUAGUCGGGGUGCUUUAUGGCUGAGAACAUACCCGAGAACCUGAUCCAGUUAAUGCUGACGUAGGAAACUAAUACGAAAUUUCU